ACGAACGCUGGCGGCGUGCUUAACACAUGCAAGUCGAACGGUGAAGCACCUUCCUUUUUGGUGGGUGUGGAUGAGUGGCGAACGGGUGAGUAACACGUGAGUAACCUGCCCCCUUCUUCUGGAUAACCGCAUGAAAGUGUGGCUAAUACGGGAUAUUCUGGGUCUGUCGCAUGAUGGGUCUGGGAAAGAUAUUGUUUCGGUGGGGGAUGGGCUCGCGGCCUAUCAGCUUGUUGGUGGGGUGAUGGCCUACCAAGGCGGUGACGGGUAGCCGGCCUGAGAGGGUGGACGGUCACACUGGGACUGAGACACGGCCCAGACUCCUACGGGAGGCAGCAGUGGGGAAUAUUGCACAAUGGGCGCAAGCCUGAUGCAGCGACGCCGCGUGAGGGAUGGAGGCCUUCGGGUUGUGAACCUCUUUCGCCAGUGAAGCAGGCCUGCCUCGUUUGUGGGUGGGUUGACGGUAGCUGGAUAAGAAGCGCCGGCUAACUACGUG
rnacentral:rRNA from 1 species